CCCUUAGAUGUCCUGGGCCGCACGCGCGUUACACUGAUGCAUUCAACGAGCUUAUAACCUUGGCCGAGAGGCCUGGGCAAUCUUGUUAACGUGCAUCGUGAUAGGGAUAGAUUAUUGAAAUUAUUAAUCUUGAACGAGGAAUUCCUAGUAAACGCAGAUCAUCAAUCUGCAUUGAUUACGUCCCUGCCCUUUGUACACACCGCCCGUCGCUCCUACCGAUUGGGUGAGCCGAUGAAACUCUCGGAUGUAGGCUAUUCAUAGCCCGCAGAAGAGAUUUGAAUCGUAGCGCUUAGAGGAAGGAGAAGUCGUAACA
rnacentral:rRNA from 1 species